ensembl:snoRNA
UGCUUCCUUCUGGAUUAAAAUGGGCAUUUUUGAUUAGUGUCCAAAAGUGGUCAUUGUGGCUGAAAGUGAGACACAGGUUACGUGUCCAUCACAGUAAGUGUAUUACAGUGGUGACAUUGAAACCUGUAACAUUU